rnacentral:rRNA from 1 species
GAUGAACGCUGGCGGCGUGCCUAAUACAUGCAAGUCGAGCGAACAGACGAGGAGCUUGCUCCUUUGACGUUAGCGGCGGACGGGUGAGUAACACGUAGGUAACCUACCUAUAAGACUGGGAUAACUUCGGGAAACCGGAGCUAAUACCGGAUAAUAUUUCGAACCGCAUGGUUCGAUAGUGAAAGAUGGCUUUGCUAUCACUUAUAGAUGGACCUGCGCCGUAUUAGCUAGUUGGUAAGGUAACGGCUUACCAAGGCAACGAUACGUAGCCGACCUGAGAGGGUGAUCGGCCACACUGGAACUGAGACACGGUCCAGACUCCUACGGGAGGCAGCAGUAGGGAAUCUUCCGCAAUGGGCGAAAGCCUGACGGAGCAACGCCGCGUGAGUGAUGAAGGUCUUCGGAUCGUAAAACUCUGUUAUUAGGGAAGAACAAACGUGUAAGUAACUGUGCACGUCUUGACGGUACCUAAUCAGAAAGCCACGGCUAACUACAUG